rnacentral:rRNA from 1 species
UACGUAGGGUGCGAGCGUUAAUCGGAAUUACUGGGCGUAAAGGGUGCGUAGGCGGGGCUUUAAGUCAGGGGUGAAAUCCUGGAGCUCAACUCCAGAACUGCCUUUGAUACUGAAGAUCUUGAGUUCGGGAGAGGUGAGUGGAACUGCGAGUGUAGAGGUGAAAUUCGUAGAUAUUCGCAAGAACACCAGUGGCGAAGGCGGCUCACUGGCCCGAUACUGACGCUGAUGCACGAAAGCGUGGGGAGCAAACAGG